rnacentral:rRNA from 1 species
CCUACGGGUGGCAGCAGUGGGGAAUAUUGGACAAUGGGCGAAAGCCUGAUCCAGCCAUGCCGCGUGUGUGAAGAAGGCCUUCGGGUUGUAAAGCACUUUCAGUGGGGAAGAAAGCCUUGGGGCUAAUACCCUCGAGGAAGGACAUCACCCACAGAAGAAGCACCGGCUAACUCCGUGCCAGCAGCCGCGGUAAUACGGAGGGUGCGAGCGUUAAUCGGAAUUACUGGGCGUAAAGCGCGCGUAGGCGGUCUGAUAAGCCGGUUGUGAAAGCCCCGGGCUCAACCUGGGAACGGCAUCCGGAACUGUCAGGCUAGAGUGCAGGAGAGGAAGGUAGAAUUCCCGGUGUAGCGGUGAAAUGCGUAGAGAUCGGGAGGAAUACCAGUGGCGAAGGCGGCCUUCUGGACUGACACUGACGCUGAGGUGCGAAAGCGUGGGUAGCAAACAGGAUUAGAUACCCCGGUAUUC